rnacentral:rRNA from 1 species
UACGGGGGGGGCAAGCGUUGUUCGGAAUUACUGGGCGUAAAGGGCUUGUAGGUGGCCAACUAAGUCAGACGUGAAAUCCCUCGGCUUAACCUGGGAACUGCAUUUGUGACUGCAUGGCUGGAGUGCGGCAGAGGGGGAUGGAAUUCCGCGUGUAGCAGUGAAAUGCGUAGAUAUGCGGAGGAACACCGAUGGCGAAGGCAAUCCCCUGGGCCUGCACUGACGCUCAUGCACGAAAGCGUGGGGAGCAAACAGG